AUCACCUUCGGCCUGAUAACAAGAGUUGUUCUGCAUCUGUGUACUUCUUCCUUGCAAUUAAAGAACAAGCAGUAUUGAAUGCCAAUUCAAAACUGCUUGUUGCUUUAACCCGAAGUGAAUCCAGCAUUCCCUGAACUUCAGAUGACCUGCCAGCCAUAACUAGUGCAGCAACAGAAUUUAUUUCCAUGUUAUCGAUCUUGGAAUUUUGGAGCUUCUGAUAGAUUUCUAUGCAAGCAUCCAUUUUCCCUAGACGAUACAAUAUCUGACACUCCAAAAGCAUAGUUUCAUCAUUUCUCUCCUGUCUUUUCAAAGACUCCAAAGCUUCAUCCAACUUGUUUUGUCUGUACAAGCAGUAUGCCUUGAAGAAAUGAAAAUCAUCGAGCUGCUUCCGAGAAGACUUAAUGGCGGAGAGCGCAUCCUCGACACGGUCAUUUUUUAUCAGCGCAACGACCUUGCAUCGGAGCGCGUCCUCAUCGUCGGGUGCAAUGGCAAGAACUGCGAUGCAAACGAGAUAGCGAUGAGAAAACAAAGGAACGUUAAGGAUACGAAUAAAAGGAGGGACGUUUGAGAAGAGAAGUGAAAUUGACGAACUCUGAUCUGUAACUUUGACGACAUUGUCGAAUGCAGAAGCCUGGAUGUGCCUGUUGAGCGUGGUGAACAGAUCUUCGAGGGGAGGGGGAGGCGCAGGUUGCGACGACGCCGGCUUGGGCUUCGGAGCCAUUAGGUUUCAGGCGAACCAAAUCUCUGAAUCGUGCCAACGCCAAUUGACUUGGGUUUUGUGCUGCUUGGAUCAGUUCCAAAGAAGACGGGUCGGGUUGCUUUUUUU
rnacentral:sRNA from 1 species